CCCCGAGACUCCUUGUUUUGGUUAAUUUGCACAGCAGUAAGCAAAGACGCUCAGCGACGUCUAUUUUAAUGCGAUUAGGCAAGCCUCCGUUCUUCCAUCCCUGGCUUUAACAAUAAUGAUUACUUUAUUUAGAAAUCAUUAAUGUGAUUAAACAAGCCCCCAUUCUUCUAACCCUGGCUUCAGUGGGGGGCAGAGGAGGGUGACACGGGCCGAGAACGUGGGGAUGGAGGGGCACAGGCAGUUAUGCAGGGACAGGGGAGGACAUAGGGACACAGUGUGGGGACACCCAGGAGGGUGGUUGGGGACAGGGACCAUAAAUGAUGGGGCCCCUGCUGUGUCCCCAGGGCUCACCCCCUGGGAUGUGGCCCUACACCCCAACCUGCUGGCAGGGGCCCAGGGACAAGUGCUGCAAGCGCUCAGCAGCAGGGACCCCUGGGUGCAGUGGUGAGUGUGGGCAGGGCAUCCCUGUGUCACCAACUGUGGUGCCCUGUGUCACCCUGCUACCUCCAGGGUCACCCUGGGGUGCCACAGCCGGCCUGUUGGUUGCCCCGGCGCCCCCCAGUUUGCUUUGUGUUACCCUCUGGGAUCCCAUGUCACCCCUGUAAGCCUGUAUUACCCUGACUUGCCCCACAGCAUCCCUGUGGUCCCAAGCUUACACUCUGUCUCUCUCAGGAUCACCUUCUGUUAUAUCCUGAGGUCUGAGUCCCCUGGCGUGACCUAGGCCACCAUGUGCCACUGCAGAGGCUCCUGGGUAACCCCAUGCCACCCCAUGGUGCCCCCUGUGUCACCCCAGGAUCCCCUGAUGUGUUCCAUGAUAUUCUCUAGCACUGCACGGGGAACCUUGGUUCACCCCAUGCCAACCCCCAGAGUCCCUGGCAUGUCCCAUGGCAGCUUAUGUUAGGGUCCUCUGGUGUGCCCCACACCAUAUCCAGUGGUUGCCUGUCACUCUCUGGGUCAGCUGGUGUCUCUCCAGGUUCCCCACGUCACCCAGUGCCAGCCCCUAGGGUUCCUUGCCUUACUUAUGUCCCCACCAUCAAUCAUCCUUGUGACUCUAUCUCCCUCCUCGCUGUGCCUGUAACCCCUUUUGCACUACCAGAGUGUCCCCCAGGGUCACAGUGCUACCUGCAGGUGUCCCCGGGACACUCCUGGAUGCUCUGCAGGUGGAGGACCUGGCCAGGAUGCUGAGCUUCUCGGUGAUGCACGUGGCUGCAGUGCUAGACGUGAGUGGGUGAUACGCAGGUAGUAUAGGUGAUGCGUCGCUGGCAUGGGUGACAUACGCAUCACAGUGGUGAAAGGGGUGACAGCAGGUGACAAGUGGGUGACACAGAUGCCACCUACUGCCACUCUCCUCUCUGCAUGCCAACCUGCCCAGCACAUGGGGGACACCCAUAUCACCCUCAGGUCCCUCCAGCCUGUCUCCAGUGGUAUCAGCCUGCUCCUGUGUCCCUGGGUGCAGGGGCUACAGCGCAUCCAGACACCCUGGGUCCAGGGGUGAUGGGGGAAGGGGUAUGCCCUCCUUGCAUCUCUAGGAUGCCUGGAUCCUCCAGAUAUGAACUGAGGAGCUUUGGGGAGAGGGGUUCCCUGUACUCUGAGGUCCCCAGGCCCAUGUCAAGGCUGUUUAGAGGGCAGGAGGCAGAUGGAUGUCUGGAUCUCUCAGAUGCCUUAGGUCCCCUGGACAGAAGCUGAGGUGAUUUGAAGGAGAGGGCAAACCUGGACACCUAGAUUCCUUGGAUAUAAGUGGAGCCAUGCAUGUUAGCACCCUGGUCACCUGGGUGCCUCAGAAACAGAAAACAGGGUAAACUGGACAUGAGACACAGAUUCAGAAAAGGGUUUAGGUUGGAAGGCAAUUCUGGAGGUCAUCUGAUCCAAGCCUCCUGCUCAAACAGGGCCACAGAGAGCCAGUUGGCCAGGACCAUGUCCAGACAGCUUUUGAAUAUCUCCAAGGUGGGAGACUCCACAACCUCUCUGGGCAGCCUGUGCCAGUGCUUAGUCACCUUCAUAGUGAAAAAAGUGUUUCCCAAGGCUCAGAGGGAACCUGUUAUGCUUCAGUUUGAUCCCAGUGCCUCUCAUCGUGGCACUGGGCAUCACUGAAAAGUGCCUGGCUCCAUCUUCUUUGCACCCUCCACUCAAGUAUUUAUAUACACUGAUAAGAUCCCCCCCUAGGCUAUCACAGUCCCAGCUAUCUCAACCUUUCUUCUUAGGAGAGAUGCUACAGUCUCUUCAUCAUGUUUGUGGUCCCACUCAGGUGCUUUCGCCGCUCCUCCCACUUCUGUGUCACCUGCGAAGUGGCAAAGGUGGCAUGUCCCACCACAGUAUCAUAGAAUGGUUUGGGUUGGAGGCCACCUUAAAGAUCAUCUAGUUCUAGCCCUGUUCCCACUAGACCAGGUUGCUCAAAGCCCCAUGCAACUUGGCCUUGAAUGCUUCCAGGGAUGAGGCAUCCACAGCUUCUCUGGGCAACCUGUGCCAGUGCCUCACCACCCUCAGGGUAAAGAAUUCAUUCAGAAUUUGUCCAGAAUCAUCCAGAUAAUUAAUGAAGAUGUUAAAAAGACUGGAGACAGUGUUGAUCCCUGAUCUACACAGCUAGUUACUAGCUUCCAAUUAGACUUUCAGUUGCAGAUCACAACCCUCAUGGUCCUUCUGUUCAUCCAUUUUUCUACCAACAUCAGUUUCUCCAUGUCUAAGCCAUGCAUUGUCAGCAUCUCUAUGAGGAUGUUAUGGGAGACGGUAUGAAAAGCCUUACGUGUGGAGGUACACAUGUAAUACACGCCCCUUCAGCACCAAGCUAGUCUCCUCAUUGUAAUGGGCUAUCAGUUUGGUUAAGCCUGAUUUCCCCUUGGUAAAUGCAUGCUGAGUACUCCCAACUGCCUUCUCCUUCAUGUGUUUGGAAGUGGCUUCCAGGAGAGUUUUCUCCCAUCACCUUUCUGUGGAUAGUGGGGCUGGCAGGCCUGUUAUUUCCCUGGAUCUUUCUUUCCUCUUUCCUAUCUUGAAGAUAGAACUGACAUUUGCUCACUUCCAACCUUCAGAAACUUGUCCCAGCUGCUAUAAGCUGGUCUCUUCAGUAAAGACUGAGGCAAAGAGGGCUUUGAGCAGGGAGGGACAAAAAGCGAGGCUUCUGCAAGAACAUAAACAGCAAAAGAAAGACUAAGAAAAACAUUGGCCUGGGACUGAAUGGGACUGGGGAAUGAGUGACAAGCAACAAGAAAAAGGCUGAAGUACUCAAUACCUUCUUUUGCUGUUUAUGCUGUUUGUUGUGAUGCCUUCACAUCAGCUAUUAACCUUUCAUGCAAAUAAAGUUUUUCUCUUGGACCUGCAAUGAUUGCAUUCCAUUGAUCAUGACUUAUUUCACAUUGCUCUGAGCUGCUGUUAUAGUUUCCCUAGCUCAUUUUGUAAAGUCCUUACUUCUGUUUCUAAAUCUCGUACUUUUCCAACUUCCAUCUCUAGUUGUGAGGCUUGUAAACAGGCUUUGUGGGCUUCUAAGAUCUUCCUCUCUUCUGAUUACGAUGUUUUCUUGUCCUCUUGUCCUGCUAAUUUAGGAGUUUCCUACUCCCCUCGUUUCUUGAUUUCUUUUUGUAACUUCUUUAUCUCUUCAUUAUUAUUAUUAUUAUUAUUAUUUUAUUAUUUUUUAGGAUAUUCUGUGUGAGUCACAUAAGCUAUAUUAGAGUGUCCACAUGGCACAUGGCUUCUUUUUUACUGGAUUUGAAUUUUGCCCAUUUGCAAUGCCUAACCUAAGCUUCACAGUCUGCAGAGGUGGCAUCUGCUACUUUGAAACAGCAGAUCCUCCAAGAUCAAUUUUCUCCUGUUAAAUCACCCGCUUGUGGAAUUCGGUAACAUCCUUUUCCUCAGUGACAUAUUUAUUUAGUGUGAGCUGUGAGGUCUGUUUUAUCUUUUGCACUUCCCACACUGCCUUUGCACAAACAAACUCUAUGAAGAGUUUUGUUGUGGGCUAACUUAUACGGAGUUUUAAGUGUGCUUUUUGUAAGAACUAAUUCCACAUUUGCUUUCCUUCAGAGUUCAGUUGAUUCUGAGCAUCCAGAGAGACAGACAGCAAGGUGCACUUCUGGUCAUCUCAUUUGCCAUCUUUACAAGCCCUUCACUUUUAUUUCAGGUUUUGUCUCUCAGUUUUGGGGCAACAGGACAAACUUGGGGUGUGGCUGUUCCUCAGGGCAUAUUCCCAGACAAAAUACUGUUUGAGUCCAACCAAGUGUGUGUCAGGAGCUAUUCCUGAAGUCAGCCAACCAAAUAUUAAAUCAACAAAGUUUCAUUUAUUGAGGAAUGUCUGUGUGCAGCAGCAAGGGCUGCCUUCAGUCCAACAUUCUACCUAUAGUGCAGCUCCUUUACUAUAUAGGGGCAGGAGUAUUUCAUGCUGCUGAUUUACUGCCAUCCAUCCAGGAGCUAUGAAUGACUCAGACAUCUGCCUUGGAAUAGUCUAUUUCCAGAUGCCCAGUGAAGUUUGGGAUGCGUCUCACCAGAUGGUGAAGGGGUAAGGUUACUCAAAAACACAGAAUAAGCACAGUAAUUGUCACUUUUCCUGGCACAUAAAUAUUUAUUUAUUCAGCAAUCUUGCCAAACCUGGAUAAGCUCAAACCCCCCAAUAAAAACAACCUAUUUGUCAAGCAAGCAGGAAUAGGAAAAUUCACAGAAGAGAGAAUUUUGACUCCAGCACUCCUACACUGAAUGCAGGUGAGAGAUGUACAUAAAAAAAUUACAAAUGUAUCGCCUGUACCUUGCCUACAUUCUCCAUCAGACUAUUACACGUAGGUCUGUCAUGCAUGUCAAAGAGCCACUUCACAGAGAAAGUGCAAAAAUGAAACUGAUUUGGAGAAUUUAGUUCAAAUGGUGCCUACACAUUUGAUUUCUAUAAUGUUAAAUGGUGCCUUCAAAUUUGGGUUCUAUAAUGUCAAGGAUAGAAACUGCACAGACAAAGGUCCGAGUGUGCAAUGAAACACACACAAAUCAUGAUAUUCAGAUAUUCAUCAGAGACUAUAUCUACAGGAAUUCCUCUGGGGUCCGCCAGCACCUGGAAGAUUUUUCCAGUUACGGUCCAGUUACAGAGGAACUUAUGGCACAGAUGACUGAAUGAAGACAGAAGUUUCUGAGAGCGUUAGGAAAAAAGAAAGAAAGUGAGACAGCAAGCUUUCUAAUAUGAGUAAAGUGGGGAGAACUAUGCCCUAAGUUUUGUGCUGUACAUGGACCACUCUUCCUGGGCUGACAGCUCUCCAUCCGUAGGUGAUUCAUCAUGACACACAAAAUUAUGGCUAUAAAAACCUCAGAGACAAACCAAGGAAGUUUUAUUACCAGAUAAACAAUCGCAAGAAUCCCAAAACUUUGAGGGAUGAGGGUCGUGUGUGUCUUUCCCCCCACUCUCGCCCCGCUCCCCUCCCAUCUUCCCAUUUUGUAAAACAUCACAACAAAACCAAGCAUCUUCAGGAACUUUGAAGAAAACUGGGAGAUUUCCCAAACCUUUUCCCAUCCAUGUUAAACCAAAACUUGGAUUCACUGGACCAAAUCCUGACAUUUUGCUCAGUUGUCCAGCUGUUCCAGCUCAUCCAUGUCAUCUGGGUCAAGCCUCUUGAUCUGGGUCUCUGAAGAAAGAAAACAAAUGUCAGUGCCUGCCAAGUACAGCCAGGCACCAGCCUGUGCAGGAGUUAGCAAAGGCAUAGCACUGCUGCUCGGGGGCUGCUAGUAGUGGCAAACCCUGGCAGCCAUGCCCAGGACUCUCGGCUCUGCCUUCCACAGAUGACAUAAAACAAGCUGUGAGCUGUUCAGCACGUGACGGAGGUGAGAGGUUAGAAACCUGCCCAGCUGUUUGCAUCAAACCCAGUUGAGUAGAGGUAUAGGUAGAAGUGACAGAUUCCAGUUAUCUCAGGACCAACUGGCCACCUCUGGGAUACUGCUUCCUGGCUCAGUGCACGUGCUAACCUCGCUCUGGGCUGAAAAGCUACCCAAAGUGCUCAGCAUGGCAUUUCCACACUGCGGAGUUCAAAAGAUAAUCAAACUUUGAGAGAGCACAACAGACACAAACCUGACCGACAAAUGGUAAGAGACGUACAUAGUGAUGGGAACCCAAACUGGUCAGUCACACUGACUGAUGGAGCUCAGAAUGUUUAUUCCACAGAGGUUAUCCGAUCAAGGACCUUGGCAACUGGGCAACGUGGGAAAAGGGGGAAACAAGCAACAAAACACCUGACACAGACCUGACAAACCCAAUGAGACAAUGACGAGAAACUAACCUCACCACUCACACUAAUCGGUGGGCUAUUGAGAAAUUACAGGUGCCACUUCCCAGAAGAACCACCUGCACUUUACAGCUGGUAAGGCUGUGAGCCAGAGGGACCUGGACUGGAAGGGGUGUGGGAACUGGGAGGGCUGUACAAACCCAUGAUGAGACGUGCAGGAGGAAAGGGAGGUGGGAGGUGCAAAGAGGGGGUAAGCAGGAAAGGGCACAGAAGCGGCCACUUGCAUGUGAAAUGGGGCUAGUCGGUGUGCUUCUUUGGUUUAGCCCCAACACUGAUCGCCACGGUCUGUCUUGUAGUCUUAUGCCUACUUAAAUCUUUUCCCACUUCUGUCUUUCUGUGAUCUCACACUCAAUCCCUGGUAUGUGUGUGUGUGUGUGUACGUGCGUGCAUACAGCAGUACCUUCUCACCAGCUACUGCUGAGACCUGUGCGUGAAUGAAAACUGGUGCCAACUCCUGCAGUCAGACAGGGACAAGGCUGCCCCUGGCCUCGGCUGCCACCUACUGGAGCCACUGCAGGGGUCUCACUGCAGAUACUGCAGCAAGCACGAUUCUUCAGCUCCCAGCCACUGGGCUGGGGAUGCUGUGCAUCCAAAAAAACAUCUGUUGGGGGGGCACUGGCGUGACUGUGACUGUGUGUGUGUGUACAUGAUGAAUUCGAAGUGACAGCUGCUGGAGGCAGAGGUGAGCAUCUGUACCUUCUACAGACUGUGUGGGUAUGGAGGGUGUGUGUGUGUGUGUAUUCACCUGAAAACUUCAGCCUGGGUCACCUAGUGACUGCGGGGGCCCUCAGGCCCAGGCCAGGGUAUCAGGUGCAUGGGUGGAGUCCGUGCGAGUACCAGGCUGGACCAGCCAGCAAGUAGGGGACUUGUCAGAGGGCAAGGGUCUGGUCAGGGACACUAGGAGAAUAGAGGGGCUGGGAUGGUGCUUGCUGACCCACAAACACCUGUGUGUGUUUGGACCUGGAAGUGCAUGUGUGUGCUUGCACUAGUGACUCUCUGCCAGCCAACGAGGAGAAGGGGAUUUGUGUGUGCUUGUGUGUCUGUGUCUGUAUAUUUGUGUGUCUGUGCGUGUUGGUCUCAGGGACAUGUGUUCUGUGACACUGUUGAUUGAGCCUGGGUUAAAGGGUAAAGUGGCAGACGCAUCCCUCAGCUUGUGCAGAGACCCCAGGUGCCCAGGCACCAGGCUGGGCUUCAGCAGCUCACAAGGACCGUACUGGUCUGUACUGGCCUGUGCUGUGCUUCAGCAACCAGGCAUGGAGGUCCUGGGCCAGAGCAGCUGCAAGAGGUGGCCACACUCCUGACAUUCCUUAAUGCUUCCCAAUGCACUUCUCAUCCACGUGUACCUCAGCUCUUUGCAGCAUCAGAGCUGGGCACAAGGAUAUUCACGGAAAUGCUCCUCUAUACUGUGCACGAGGUACGUGGUCUGCCUUUCCACCAUGUUGAAGGCAAUGCCCUUCUUCCCAAAGCAGCCCGUUUGCCCAAUGCAGUGCAGGUAGGUCUCAAAAUCCAGCUGCUUCUCCUGAUUAACAGGGAGGCUGAAGUUCACCACUAUGGUGACUUGUGCCACAUCAAUCCCUGAAAGACAGAGAGGUUUCUCGCAACCAGGAUCCGAAGGCAAUCACCCGCGUCCAGAUCGGAGCUAGUCCACUUGCAGUAUAAAGCGGUCAGCCCUGGCUCUGCAGCACACACUACAAUGACAUGUCAAGGCAACAAAAGACCUACAUGUAGAGGCCACGGAGCACAGGUUGUGUCACCAGAAACGAAGCAGCAUCGUGUGUCCCCUGCGAGUUGAUGGGCCAUGGGGCAAAUCAAGGGGAUUCCCACACUGCAGAUGCUGCGAGGGUAUUGCUUUUCAGGAUACAGUACCUCUAGCACAGACGUUUGUGGUGAUGAGAACCUUCUCCUUCCCAUCGCGGAAUCUGAAUCACAUCAGCCCUCUGCACUAUGGUCAGCUCUGCCGUCAGCAUGGUGACCUGGUGCCGAUCCUUGCUCAUCUCCACCGACAGCCAGUCCACACUCCUGCGAGUCUAGAUGCGUGGGAGAGGCAGGAGGAGCUUUUGCAGCAGCUCUGGUGAUACUGGUCUCCACCAGGCAUGGUGCGCUCUCCAGGAAGUCGGUACACACCCAG